rnacentral:sRNA from 1 species
UGCCGAUUCGAUCGGGAUACUCAUCAAAUGACAUUGAAAACCGAGAUGUCUUCUCUUGCCAAUGGCGGGCCAUAGUCUCACCCCGGUGAGAAGCCGCAAGGCCGAUGGAUUACAAAGGCGGAGAGCGCUCAAAUCUUUUAACAAAGGAGUUUUCAUCACAUCAUCGGGCGCC